GGGCAGAAAGCAUUAUUCUGUAGUGACACUAUGGUGAAAUAUGAAACGUAUUUCCUGGAAGUCUUUAAGGAAUUGAUUUGAUCAUGCAAAUUCAUUCUAUAAAUGUGCACAAUAUGAAUGGAAAUGAAACGGAGGCAUCUGUCCAGUAUUUUCGUCGCGAGCGACGGCGAAGCAGUAUCACAUGGAAUGAUUAUGUCAGGAUCAAAGCUUCUCUAAAACAAAUGAAGGAUCAGCGACGCACAGGACCUUCACGGUACCUCUCUUUUGAAUCGAACUGGAGAAUAUUUCCAAAUGAACGAAGCAAAGAAGAUUGCUAUAGAAUUUUGUUUUGGAUAAUAUUUGUUUUAUUAAUAGUGUUCAUCUGUUUUCUGUGUGUUUAUUCAAGAGAAUUCCUUUAACUGCCAGUCGAGUGUCCGUAAGUGCUUUUUGUUUACACCAGGAAGGUCAGAAAGAGAGAGAUGGAACCGAGAUUAAUUAAAUUCUUGUCGCCAUACUUACCAAAUUCUUUGUUUGUUAAAUAUUCUCGACACAAUGGAAUUUAUUUUUGGAAGCCUUAAGUAUAUUGGAAUGUAACACUGAAGAGACAUUACACCAUGAACGGGAAUGAAACAGAUUCGUCAGUACAAUAUUUCCGCCGAGACCGACGCCGGAGUAGCAUCACAUUCAACGAUUACGUAAGAAUAAAAGCAUCAUUGAAACAAAUGAGAGGACAGAGACGCCGGCCAGUUCGACAAAUGCCUUUAGAAAUAGAGGAGAAAACAAAAAUCGAUGUAUCAACUGAAUCAAUUCAGGAUAACGGAAUAGUGUUUUGGAUUAUUUUUGUUUUAUUAUUAACAGUGCUCUGUCUGUUGUAUAUUUAUUCAAAAGACUACCUGUAACAAAAAUCGUAAAAAGUUCUGUUUACCUUCAACAGGAACUAAUUUAACGAUCUGCCGUUGGUAAUUGGUUUUCUUUGUUCAGAGAAAUAAAACCGCAUUAGUAAAAUGAAAAUGACAGCAAUAUUCAUUUUAAAGUUAAUAAACGAACUAAUGGAUUCUCACGCUAAUCAUCCAUUUUGCAGCGGAAUAAUCGGUUAGUUUUGAUAUUCCCUUAUUGCUAU